ensembl:snoRNA
GAUGCUGGACCUGCUGGCACCACGGGUGUGACUGCCUGCUGCACCUGUGACAUUGGGGCAGAGAGGAAGCAGCUAUUUCUAUGCUUAGUGCUCAGAACAGUGGGUGCUAAGAAUGGUAUGUAGCCGGACAUCG